UUUUGUUCAAAAUUAGGGUUUGAGUUCUCGAUCUGUCAUUGGAGUUUUGAAUUUUGUGUUGAUUGAAUCUUUGUUAAUCUCGUUUUGAUUAUGCUCAUUUUCUUUUUUGGUUGUUGUGUUUUUUGGAUUUCUACUUGCUUGCUAUUCGAAGAUGAGGGUUUGGGAUCUAACAGCUGUUAUUUAAUUUUCUAGGUUUUGCACUUAGUUUCAGUUUUUUUUUUUUUUAAUUGCAGUGUGUUGAUUUCCUGUGUCACACAAGCAGUGCUUUGGUAUAUUGGGAUUGUCCUGAAUCUCUUUGAUGAAUGCAAUAAAGGGGAAAAUUGUCUUGCAGACCUUGUCUUAUGGCAAAGGAUUUAAUAUAUGAAUUGAGAAGUCGCAGUACGCAUUCCAAAUGCAGUAUGGAUCGAUCGGAUGGUCCGUGGGAGCGACAUUGGGUUAUGCACAGGCUGGAAAGAAUAUGUGGGUGAUCGCUUGCAUUGGCAAUUCUUAGAGGUUUCACUUGUGCGUAGGUACAUUGUGAGCAGGAACUAGAAGAAGCCACUGAGAAGGCAACAUGGCCCAUGAAGAACUGCUUGUGCUUCAUCGAGGUGAUUGUGCACAAGGAUGACACUAGUAAAGAACUGUUGGAGUGGGGAUCGAGGGUGUCUGCAGCCGACCGCCAAAUCCUCAGUAAUCCAGCGCCGUCAGAUCGGGUCUGCAGCCAACAGCCAACGACCAAAUCCUCAGUAAUCUGGCUGGUCAGAUCAGUUCCUAUAAUAACGCUUUAGUUAGAGCUUCUCUCUCAGUUUGGUUGAAUACAUGAUGCAUGUUUGUUUAUUCCCUCCCUCCUAUUUUGCUUGUCUGACUGCUUAGGCACAUUUAAGCUUCAUUAAUUCUUUAAAUAGAUCCCGUGCUUGUGAUAAUUCAGCUGAUGGGUCAAUUAUAGGAAGUGGACCCCAGUUUCGUACCUUCCAAGCACUGGGAUUGAUUUGGGGCCUGUGUAAUAUCUAGGCCCUUCAUCAAUCAUGGCCCAGCGUGACUCGCCCGAACCAAAAAAUCAGGAACAUGCAGCUGGGAGGGGUGUGACCUAGUGGAUGAAUGGACAAGCCUAUUUCUUUGAUCAGUUAACCGAUAGAUGUACAUUGGCAUGGGUGGCUGUCCAUAUUCGAGAAUUGCAUCUGGGUGUAUGCAGCCUUCUCAAGGAAAAAUCAUGAAGUUUCUAAAGCUUAUGAAAAGUCCCAGCAUGUAGCAGGUUGGUGUGGGCUCGUAGAAGUCGUUGUUUUGGAAAGCCAGCCCUCUGCUAAGAAUGGUUCUACUGCAGUUUCCAAGAAGAAACAAGAAUCAAGAGACAGUUCUGAUACUGACAACAGCUCAGAUGAGGACAAUGUUAGUAGUAUGCACUAUUAUUUGCUGGUUGAUGAAAACUCUCACUUGUUACUCUUUUACUGAAAAAGGUUGCCUCCCAAGCAAAGAAAAUGACUGCACUGUCUCAAAGAAUGUACCUACUGUUGCCUCGGAAAAGAAAGUUGAAUCAAGUGAUUGCUCCUCUGAGAGUGUAUCUGAGGAGGAUGAGGUCUCAAAGUCCGUUUAUGUAAAAGUGGAGAAGUUUAUGAAUGUCGAAUGAUACUCCCAUGCUAUGCACAUCAGCUCCACGGUGA